ACUAUACGGAGGAAGAGGCCCUGGUGACGUGGAGACCGUGCGUGGGAAGCCUCUCGUGGGAGCCCGACCCUCUGGCGCUGCUCUAGCGUAUUCCAGAAACGGCCCUUAUGUUCUCAGGUUAUUGGUCUUCUUUGGGCCAUUUAUGAAUUGGGUUAAGGGGUUUUGGGUGUAAUUUUUUUUUUUUUUGGUUGUUCUAUGUAAUUAGGUUAGGUGUAAAUCAAUAGGUUUGGGUUUAGUUUAAUUUAGGCCCGAAAUUUUGUAAAUGGACAUUGGACUCAUAAAUAAUUUGGUUUAUUAUUUAUUUCUGUUUAAUUUUAUUAUUUUAUUUUUGGGUUUUUGGUUUUUUAUGGGCCGGGCAAAUUGGGCCUCUUACAAGCUGAAUAGCUAAAAUUCCUGGUACCAGAUUGUCUUAACAAUGUUUUAAAAAUGAUGAUAAAGGAUUCUUCUGGUGUUGUGUCAUCAAAGAUUUGGAAGUUUGCUUCGGGGGAAGAGAAGGGACUGCAGGAAACUUAAUGAAAGCUCCGUCUGAUGGAGGACUGUUCUCUCUAGGACUUAUUUCUGGCAGAGGAAUUUUUCCUAUUUCCUUCAAAAUUUUAAUCUGAUGUUUCAGCCUUUGAAUUUCUUAUCCUUUUGUGUGAUAUAGAAAAAGAAAUCUUGUCCUAGAGUAGUCGUUUCUCUAACAACUUCUUUUAAGCAUUUCUAUAGAAGGGAAAUUAAGUCUUUUACCAUCUUGGAGUUAUCAUUAAGCUUAGCUUCCACCAUUGAGACUUUUGAAUCCAAAUUGGAGACUUUAGAAUCUAGUUUCUUGAUAGCCCUGUUCUGUGCUAUGGCAUUUUCAGUUGCUAGUUUAGGGCAACUUCUAUAGCACUAAUUUUUGUGGGUUUGCCUGAGUCAUCAGCCUGAAGUUUGGAAGGAAUUUUAGGGGUAUGUGUAACCCCUAUUGGGUACAUUCUUGUAAAGGUGGAAAUUCUUGUUCAUAUGAUGUAUCUAUAGAAUGAUACAUACAUACUGAGGUGGGCAUAGGGAUUUGUGUAGUUUCAGGAACUGGAUUCUUUUGAACCCAUUUACGAAUUUGGAUAUAGAACAGCGAAGGGAAAAGGUUUUUGUUUAGAGUUAUAACUUUUUUAAGUGCAGGAGGAAACGAAGGUUUUGAAGGAGCUGGUGGGUUUGGGUCAGCUAGUAAUAUCGGGAUUGGUUGAGGAAUUUUUGCAGAGUAAUCAACAAGAUUUAGAUUCGUUAUGAUCCAUGCUAUCUAUCCAGCCAUCAAAGCGAUCAUAUGCACAUAACUCACACGUACAGUUAAGAGCCCAUGGACAAUGUCCUGUUUUGGGAUCUCUGAACAUAUAGUGUGGUUUCCCAUCAGCAGUAAAGCUUUCAGUAAGCUUUCUUUCUGGACCUGGUUCACAGGGUCCACAGCAACAGUCUUGGAUUAUCUCCUUCCUCUGGGUCUGGUACUGGUUGCAUCAUUAACAUUGUGGGAAACACAGAAGGCGUUUCAGGGUUCUACAAGUGACUUUGAUCAAAUUUAAUUUCUAUAGUUCCAUUCCUUCUGAAAGUGAUCUGGCUCUUUGUGGAUUGUAUUGGCUGAUUAUGCUCAUGGAGCUUCUCAUAAUUUGUAAUCCAUCUUUUAGGCAGUAAUUUUAUCAGUUUUGCCUUUGGGAUUUGUCUUGGAACAUGAAUACAGUGGAGUUGGUCCUGUGUAUUGACCGAAAUAAGAAGAAAGUUACUGGUACCAUACUUUGAGAGAUUAAAACCAUGAUCUUGAACCCUAUAUACAAUCUGGUAAUGUAAAGUUGUUAUAAUUACUGAAGCAACUUGAGGGGCACCGCCAAUCUGGAUCUGAACUUUUAAGGCUAUCGUUAGAUUUGGAUCAUGUAAAUACAUGGUGAAAUUGGGGAAAAGUGUGACCAUAACCAGCCCAGAAUUUAGAGUAGCUUCUAUUGUCGUAAUACAGGCAUCUUGGUACUUAAGGUAUUCGGAAUCCAGCAAGGCAAUUCGGGCAACUGCCGGUCUACCUUCUGUUCCAUGAUAAUUCAAGGCUAAACGUAUAGCUCCAAAGUGGAUGAUCCAAUAAAUGGCAAGCACAGAGCAUACUUUCAAAGCUUAAGAAUCAUUAAUGAAAUUCAUGAUUCUUCUUAUCCUUGCUUAAACCCAGAAAAUAAAGGAAAGAGUUUAGAAAGCCAUAGUAUAAGAAAACACACUGGAAAUUUUAUUAGAUGGAAACUCGAUACCCUUACAAGAUGAAAUACAUCUUUACCAUGUAGCCAUUCGAUUAUCUGCUUCAGACAUCAAAUAUUUCCUGCGCAAUACAGUUCA